UACGUAGGGGGCAAGCGUUGUUCGGAUUCAUUGGGCGUAAAGGGUGCGUAGGCGGCGCGGUAAGUCGGGUGUGAAAUCUCGGGGCUUAACUCCGAAACUGCAUUCGAUACUGCCGUGCUUGAGGACUGGAGAGGAGACUGGAAUUUACGGUGUAGCGGUGAAAUGCGUAGAUAUCGAUAAGGAAGACCAGUGGCGAAGGCGGGUCUCUGGACAGUUCCUGACGCUGAGGCACGAAGGCCAGGGGAGCAAACGGG
rnacentral:rRNA from 1 species